rnacentral:rRNA from 1 species
GACGAACGCUGGCGGCGUGCCUAACACAUGCAAGUCGAGCGACGAACCAGUACUUGCCCUGGGGCACAGCAGCGAACGGGCGAGUAACACGUGGGUAACCUACCCCGAUAACCGGGACAACCCGAGGCAACUCGGGCUAAUACCUGAUGUGCUCACUGACCUUCGGUUGAGUGCGUAAAGGAAUCUGCGCCCUCCGGAUCGGGAGAGGCCCGCGGCCGAUUAGUUGGUUGGCGGGGUAAAGGCCCACCAAGCCCGCGAUGGGUAGCUGGUCUGAGAGGAUGAUCAGCCACACUGGAACUGAGACACGGUCCAGACUCCUACGGGAGGCAGCAGUGGGGAAUAUUGCGCAAUGGGCGAAAGCGUGACGCAGCCACGCCGCGUGGGUGAAGAAGGCCUUCGGGUUGUAAAGCCCUUUUGUGGGGGAAGAAGAUCAGGAGGUGAAUAGCCGGCCGGACUGACGGUACCUAAAGAAGAAGCCCCGGCUAACUACGUG